GCCUGGGUGGCUCAGUCAGUUGAGCGUCUGACUUUGGCUCAGGUCAUGAUCUUGCAGUUUGUGGGUUUGAGCCCAGCAUCGGGCU
rnacentral:tRNA from 1 species